rnacentral:rRNA from 1 species
GAUGAACGCUGGCGGCGUGCCUAAUACAUGCAAGUCGAACGCACAGCGAAAGGUGCUUGCACCUUUCAAGUGAGUGGCGAACGGGUGAGUAACACGUGGAUAACCUACCUCAAGGUUGGGGAUAACAUUUGGAAACAGAUGCUAAUACCGAAUAAAACUUCGUAUCGCAUGAUACAAGGUUAAAAGGCGCUACGGCGUCACCUAGAGAUGGAUCCGCGGUGCAUUAGUUAGUUGGUGGGUAAAGGCCUACCAAGACAAUGAUGCAUAGCCGAGUUGAGAGACUGAUCGGCCACAUUGGACUGAGACACGGCCCAAACUCCUACGGGA